UCCACCCAGCCAGACUGACAGGACCAGCUCAUCACAGCGGGUGCUGUCGCCCCAGGAGGGGAGGAAGCGAGCCGAAAUAGGAACCAUGCUGGCCCAGCUUGGACUUAAGGCUGCUCCUGGCUAAUGUCCGAUCUGGAAAUGAGAUUCAGGCUGGUCAAACAACUUGAAAUCAGAGACUGUUGUAUCCACAUCUUUACAGAGACCUGCUUCAUCAAGCGCUCGUCAGGCGGACUGUGUUCCGCGCAGACAGAACGCAGGACGAGAGGAGGCGGACUCUGUCCAUCGAUGAGGCUUGGUGCUCAAAUGCAGUCAAAGUGGAUGGACGCAGUUUCUUUUUCACUAUCUCACUAUCUUGUUGCUGCUGUUUACAUUCAACCAGAUGCAAAUUCCCUGGGUGUAUACUAUGAUCAGAUGGCAAAGUGGCCUGGCUUGGUCCAUGACUCCCAAGUCCUUCGGGCCUGUACAAUUACCCAGCGACUAUCUGAAGGUGAAUACUCUGGCGUGUUGCUGGAAGACAAGGGUUAUGCCUGUCAGGUGAGAGGAAGGAUAGUGAGAGACAGGUCAAAAUAAUCAGGACGGGGCAGAUAAUCAAAACUGGAGGGAAAACAGACAAAGACAGGAAGUGAAUUUAAAUAUAGGAGGAGAAUACAAAAUAAAACUAAAAAGAACCAAAGGAAACGCCAAACCAUAACAAAACAUAUGUUAUAUCAUGCCACUAGAGUGAUGGGGAUGUCACUGUAGAGGCUGGGUUCUCACACACUUCAGAAGAAGGGUGUCUCUGGUCUUAUCACUGUCCCCAGUGUGCUGCUAUCUGUUUCCUGCUGUAGGGGCUUGACAUGGACAGCCCAGUUUAACCCAGGACUGAAGGUAGCUAAAAGAAAGGAAGAGGAUCCUCUGAAUGAAUUAAUGAAUGACUCUUAUUAAAGACAACUAAAAGGAGCUCUAAGGCUAGAUUGUUAUUUAAUUUUAAUGACACGUGUUGAUCAAAUCUGACCUCAAGCUCCCCUUUGUACACUCUAAGAAAUGAUUCACAGGGUUACCGAGUACAAGGCUGACCUGCUCGGACGUGUUUGGCGUGAACAGACCAUGCAGCAUGCCUGUUGGAAGCAUAAGGUUGGGAGACACGACUGAGCAGAGCACAGAGUUGGAGAAACGCGGUUUGCAAACUUUACAGCUUGGAUGAUGACGGGGAUAUUACGGGCGAACUGAUGAAGAUCACAACACGAUGUGGCAUACCUGCAGCCCGUGCAAAGAUCGUCCUGGAGGGAACAGAGGUCCUAACGGAUGUGGAUAUUCCCAGAGCCUGUGCCUUGAUAAUGGGGCUGAUAUACGCACUCAACCUCAGCUACCCAAAAGAACUGAAAAAUACUUUUGAAGUGUUUCAAAAGAUAUUCCUCGAGUUGGACGUUCUGAAAGCAAGUCCUAAGGUAAUGUUGCCAAAAUAUAAACUGCUGUGCUAAAACAAAAAAUGUGAGGAGUUAAAGAGACAUUGAAGCUGUCCUCUAAUUAAAGAGGAAAUGUUGCACUGUUAUUUGCAAUGUGUUGUUUACAUGCUUGACAUGGACAGCCCAGUUAAACCCAGGACUGAAGUUAGCUAACAGAAAGGAAGAGGAUCCUCUGAAUGAAUUAAUGAAUGACUCUUAUUAAAGACAACAAAAAGGAGCUCUAAGUCUAGAUUGUUAUUUAAUUGUAAUGACACGUGUUGAUCAACCCUGACCUCAAGGUCCCCUUUGUAUAGCAGUCUUGGAGCUUUCGAUUGUAUCACAUGCUCUUCGUCAGCAGACGGAGAUCGCUCAGUUGUUGUGGAAUUGAAGAUGUUCAGAUUUUCAUUUUUUGAGCACUUUAAGGACUUCUCAUCCAUGUUGGCUUAAAGUUCUUAUCAUAAGUUUAUUUGUGAAAUUGAAAAAUGCAGUUAGCAAAAAAAUCCACCACAGUGUCCAAGGAGCUGCUGUUUCCAAGGUCAGGAAUGAACUUUCAAUUUUAACUUAAUGACAGAUAUAUACGCCUAGCAGCCCUGUUAGGGAACAUUACAGUGGCAAAAGCUCUCUGUUCUCAUCAGACAUCAAGUGUACAACAUUUUCAUUUUCAAGGCGUAGAAGUAGAAAGUCUGAUUUUUUGUCAUGUUCUACUGCCGGAUAUGGUGAAAGUUUCAGAAGAACAUUCUUUUUAAUAAAAAUGACCUACUGCAGCUUUAAAGAACAAGAAGUUUUACUUCAAAUAUGGUUUUAAAAAAUGAACUACAAAACAAACUAAUGGUUUUGAUAUCCCAUUAUGCUUUGAAUGCAUGAUAAGUUUGGUUUUAAUUAUGUGUGUGUACUGUUUGUGCAAACAUGUCUGUAUAUAUAUGUAAAAGUGAGCAUACGCAGAUACAUGCAUUUACAGUGGAUAUAUAUACAUUCAUAUAUACAUGUCUGUGUGUAUACAUGACUAAAGCUUACUUAUUGCCUGGACUGUGGAGCUUGUUCAUAAAUGUUAUAAACUUUUGAGAAGAGUAUACCUAGUAAACUACAGCUUCUGAAUCCACAUUAUCUUUUUACAGAGUCUGUGUUUGCUUAUUCUCUGUCAUCUGAGUUUGAUUAUCCAACAGCAUAGCUAGUGAACAUUGUCUACUCUAAAAUUUUUGUUGUUGGAGCUUAGAUAUCAAAUGGCAAAGUGAAUUUUAUUGUAUACCGACAUGUACUGAAUAAAAUAGGUAGGACGUUGUCUGA